rnacentral:rRNA from 1 species
UACGUAGGAGGCGAGCGUUGUCCGGAGUUACUGGGCGUAAAGGGUGCGCAGGCGGCGGUUCGCGUGGAUAGAUGAAAUCUCCUGGCUUACCUGGGAGGAUGGUAUCCAGACGGGAUCGCUUGAGGGUCGGAGAGGGGCGUGGAAUUCCGGGUGGAGCGGUGAAAUGCGUAGAUAUCUGGAGGAACACCGGUGGCGAAGGCGGCAUCCUGGACCAAUUCUGACACUGAGGAGCGAAAGCCAGGGGAGCAAACGGG